ACCCGUUGCCUUGUCUUUCUAUCUACUGUUAGAUGUGUGGUGUCUGUUUUUAUUGUUUAACCCGUUGCCUUGUCUUUCUAUCUACUGUUAGAUGUGUGGUGUCUGUUUUUAUUGUUUAACCCGUUGCCUUGUCUUUCUAUCUACUGUUAGAUGUGUGGUGUCUGUUUUUAUUGUUUAACCCUUUGCCUUGUCUUUCUAUCUACUGUUAGAUGUGUGGUGUCUGUUUUUAUUGUUUCACCCUUUGCCUUGUCUUUCUAUCUACUGUUAGAUGUGUGGUGUCUGUUUUUAUUGUUUAACCCGUUGCCUUGUCUUUCUAUCUACUGUUAGAUGUGUGGUGUCUGUUUUUAUUGUUUCACCCUUUGCCUUGUCUUUCUAUCUACUGUUAGAUAUGUGUGCGGUGUCUGUUUUGAAAUGUGUUGGUGUGUAAGUGAAGUGGAUUUUUAUUUUAUUGCUAGGCCCUGACUCUACUCGACUACCUGAUCAAAACGGGCUCGGAACGUGUGGCGCAGCAGUGCAGGGAGAACGUAUACACCAUACAGGUUAGGUUGACGGUUCGAAUCCCGAGUCUGUCGGGAUAAAUGUCUGAGUGAGUGCACUGAGCUGGCUUCUGAAUGGUUUCUUUCUCAGGGCGUUGAAACCAAAAAAACUAUCUGCAAAGAAAGUAUAAUAAAGUAUACUUCCUUCCCUUCCUCUUCCUCCCCCUCUUCCUCCUCCUCCUCCUCCUCCUCCUCCUCCUCCUCCUCCUCCUCCUCUGUAGACCCUACGGGACUUCCAGUUCACAGACAGGGAUGGCAGGGACCAGGGGGUGAAUGUUAGGGAGAAGGCCAAGCAGCUGGUGGCUCUGAUGAGGGAUGAGGAGAGGCUGAAACAGGAGAGGACCCUGGCCCUGAAGACCAAGGAGAGGAUGGCUGGAGCAGCUGCAGGGUCAGGGAUGGGCUCUAGUUCUCUACCUCCACCCUACCCAGGCCGCCGUACCAGCCAGCCCAGCAUGACUGCUCUCUACGGGGAUGACUUCAGCCGGUCCAGGGAGUCCCAUUCCUCUUUCAAUUGUGAGU
rnacentral:lncRNA from 13 species